rnacentral:rRNA from 1 species
CAGUAGCCACGGGAACACGUAGGGCGCAAGCGUUAUCCGGAAUUAUUGGGCGUAAAGAGCUCGUAGGCGGUUUGUCGCGUCUGCCGUGAAAGUCCGGGGCUCAACCCCGGAUCUGCGGUGGGUACGGGCAGACUAGAGUGAUGUAGGGGAGACUGGAAUUCCUGGUGUAGCGGUGAAAUGCGCAGAUAUCAGGAGGAACACCGAUGGCGAAGGCAGGUCUCUGGGCAUUAACUGACGCUGAGGAGCGAAAGCAUGGGGAGCGAACAGGAUUAGAUACCCCGGUAGUCCCUGUCUCUUAUAC